GACGAACGCUGGCGGCGUGCCUAAUACAUGCAAGUCGAACGAACCGCGACUAAGUGCUUGCACUAAGUCAAGGUGAGUGGCGAACGGGUGAGUAACACGUGGGUAACCUACCUCAUAGUGGGGGAUAACAGUCGGAAACGACUGCUAAUACCGCAUAGGACAUAGGAUCACAUGAUCCAGUGAGGAAAGGUGGCGCAAGCUAUCGCUAAGAGAUGGACCCGCGGUGCAUUAGCUAGUUGGUAGGGUAAAGGCCUACCAAGGCGAUGAUGCAUAGCCGACCUGAGAGGCUGAUCGGCCACAUUGGGACUGAGACACGGCCCAAACUCCUACGGGAGGCAGCAGUAGGGAAUCUUCCGCAAUGGGCGCAAGUCUGACGGAGCAACGCCGCGUGAGUGAAGAAGGUCUUCGGAUCGUAAAGCUCUGUUGUUAGAGAAGAACAGUGCAUAGAGUAACUGCUAUGCGUGUGACGGUAUCUAACCAGAAAGCCACGGCUAACUACGUG
rnacentral:rRNA from 1 species